AUUGAACGCUGGCGGCAUGCCUUACACAUGCAAGUCGAACGGCAGCACGGGGGCAACCCUGGUGGCGAGUGGCGAACGGGUGAGUAAAGCAUCGGAACGUACCCGGAAGUGGGGGAUAACGUAGCGAAAGUUACGCUAAUACCGCAUAUUCUGUGAGCAGGAAAGCAGGGGAUCGCAAGACCUUGCGCUUUCGGAGCGGCCGAUGUCGGAUUAGCUAGUUGGUGGGGUAAAGGCCUACCAAGGCGACGAUCCGUAGCGGGUCUGAGAGGAUGAUCCGCCACACUGGGACUGAGACACGGCCCAGACUCCUACGGGAGGCAGCAGUGGGGAAUUUUGGACAAUGGGCGAAAGCCUGAUCCAGCCAUGCCGCGUGAGUGAAGAAGGCCUUCGGGUUGUAAAGCUCUUUCGGCGGGGAAGAAAUCGCACUUACUAAUACUGAGUGUGGAUGACGGUACCCGAAUAAGAAGCACCGGCUAACUACGUGCCAGCCGCCGCGGUAACAC
rnacentral:rRNA from 1 species